ACGAGGUGCAGUAGCAUGUGCCUGUUGUCCCAGCUACUCAGGAGGCUGAGGUAGGAGGAUCACAUUAGCCUAGGAGUUCAGGCUAUAGUGUACCAUGCCAAUUGGGUGUCCACAGAGUUUGGCAUCAAUAUGGUGACCUCCCAGGAGCAGGGAACCCGUAGAUUGCCUAAGGAGGAGUGAAUCUGUCCAGGUCAGAAAUGAAGCAGUUCAAAACUCCCAUGCAGAUCAGUAGUGGGAUCGUGCCUAUGAAUAGCCACUGUACUCCAGCGUGGGCGACAUAGUGAGACCCUGUCUCU
rnacentral:SRP_RNA from 1 species